rnacentral:misc_RNA from 1 species
GUUAAUUGAGUUAGGACUUGAAGGUGCGUGUUAUCAUAUUUUGCAACUAUCUGCAGAAUUUUGCAAUGCUACUAGUUUGUGGUGAUCUUGAAUUUGUUGGUAUUAGGUUAAUGAUUCUUUUGCUUACAUCCGGUUAUAGACAGACCAUGUUGCUAAUGGAACUGUAUCUGAUUUCAUACUGUAGAUUGUGUGGAGGAAAUUGAUG